UUUCAUUACUUUGUAGCACAUAGAAAAGACGAUGCCUUGUUUUCUGUGUAUGACGUGGGGUCUUGGAGGGUAUCAAGGUGAGUCAUAAAAAGGGCUGACAUGUAGAAAAAAACAAACCUCUCUGGCUGUCGUGUGACUUCUUCCUGCUGGACCCUAACAGGUGAAAGUGGAUAAAGGCAGGCGUGUCAGCUCAGGGGUGCUGGUCCGGCUGUGGGCGGGCCGUAGUCAGGGCAGUGACCGAGAAGUCCGAGGGAGGCAGGCUGUUCCAGGGCUGCGUGUAACUGUGGGACGCUGAGGCACGUGUAAGUGACGUGUGCUCCAUGUGAUGAGAGGGGGCAGAGAGUCUAGACCUGUCCUCCUUUGCUUGUCACCUCCUCAGGCCAGACACCAGCCCUUGAGCCACCUGAAGUCAUGAAGCGCUUUUUGCUAACUUUGGCUGUGCUGCUGCUCUUGUCCCGGGUCAUUCCAGCACUGAAAAAUGCUGGAAUCUUCGUGGCUCCUGCCGUGAGAAAUGCAUCAAGAAUGAAAAGAUUUAUGUUUUCUGCAUGAGUGGUAAACUGUGCUGCGUGAAGCCCAAGUUUCAGCCAAAGUCGUUACAGACGUGAAUUAGUGCUCUGAGCCCGAGGGCACAGAAAUGAAGACAACCCUG